CAGGAAGUGAAGUGGCUGGGAGAGAGAGGAUAUAAGCAGGAAGAAACAGGAGCUUGAACUCUUUUCCACUGAGACACUAAUGAGAGGAUGGGUGGAGUUCGGCUCCCUGCACCCACACGUUGGUUCCAUUUCCAGGGAGUCUGAUGCCCAGAUGUGCAAAUGGUACAUAAACAUACAUGCAGGCAAAAAAAAAAAAGAAUACACAUAAAAGGGCCCACUCAAGAUGGUCAUGAGCAGCCCCAGGCAUGACUUUGGGAACUCCAGUGGAAAGAAGGCAUUCCUUUUUGGCUAGAUCCAGAAAAAGUCCUGCCUAAGACUGACAUUGGCUCUGUUUGGUCACUGAGUCAAAUUCUGACAAACCACAUUGAUUCUUAACAGCACCUGGUGAACACGAGCCUGGACCCUAUAGAACCCUAAGGCUUCACGAGUCUGAGCCUGCAGUUGGACCAGCAUGGCCACUGUUCUGGACCUAUUCCCGUGGCUUGAAUGUGCACACAGUUCAGCUGGCCCAGUUCUACCAGAGGCAAAGGGGUUCCUUGCAGAUGUGAUGCCAGGAGGACAGUCAUGCCUGUGCUUCCAGGAACCCCCAUUCUAUUCUAUGCCAGAGACACACAGAUGGUGGCUGGAUUCCAGCCACAGAUGCAGCUCCCUCAAGAACAGUGAAGCCUACAACAGGAGUGUGCCCCCUCUGGGUCUCAGGCCUGAGGGGACAGUAGCAUCUGUGUGACCGAAGACUCACCCUCUGUGAGUGGAACAGUUAAGGCUGUCUGUGGCCUAGCAUCUGCUGGUCCCAUUCACUAUGGCAAGGCUGUGGACAUUCAGUCUUAGACCUUCUCACCCCAGUGCCUGAACUCAACAGGAAAACGUCAGCUGCAAAGUCCUGGACUCUGCCUGCCAUCACCAUCACUCUACAGACAUCUUCAGCACAUCUCUGUGAGAUUACUUCCUUUAUACUAGGGUUUUGUGUAGCUAUUUCCUCCUGGUGGCAACACUCCUUCCUGGAGAUGCUAAGCUCACAAUGAAGUUACAAGACUCAUGAGGCCCCAGACCCCAUGAGGCUCCCUCCUUGAGGUUAUAUAAGCUUAAACAAUUACUGUAGAGUUACUAGCAUGUUAUUCAGGGAGUUUCAGGGAUGCACCUUUCAUGAGAUUGUCACCCAUGCUGGAGGGGAGGAGGGAUUUUCAGCAGUACAGCAGCCUGAGUCACCUAUGUUCCUGUAAGUGACCCAAAUAAACUCAUUGGUUCACUAAGUUAAACUGGGGUGAAAUAGUUUUUUUAGCCCAUUGUCGGCACCCUAUCUGACGUCCAUGGACAUCUGCUCACAUCUCCAGCAGGACAAUACUGAGGAUUUAUAUGUAAUGUAUUAUUUUGCUCUCGGGCUAACUCCAUUGAGUAUGGUACAAUGAAUAUUCCCACAUUUUCCUAAACUGGAAACUGAGACACCAAGGUUAAAGAGCUCCUGAAGAAGCACAGAGAAAGGGAAGUGGAGAUUUCCCAUUUGUCAGGCAAAGUGGGAAGGUCUGCAGUGAAUCCAUAUCAGGUUAGAGAAAAGGGGUGUCGACAGAGAUUCAAGCUCCUGGUGAGAGAUGAAGGCAAUGUGGGGGGUGGGGGGACACACAUCAGG
ensembl:lncRNA